rnacentral:snRNA from 1 species
GCUUGCUUCACCACACAUAUAUUAAAAUCGGAAUGGUAUAGAGAUUAGUGUGGCCCCUGCACAAGGAUGACAUACAAAUUCAUGAAGCAUUCCAUAUUUAA